rnacentral:rRNA from 1 species
AAACAUCUUUUCUUGUUUUUUUAUUUGAAAUUUAACCUGCCCACUGAUAAUUAUUUAAUGGCCGCGGUAUUUUGACCGUGCAAAGGUAGCAUAAUCAUUAGUUCAUUAAUUGUGGACUUGUAUGAAUGGUUGGACGAAAUAUUUACUGUCUCAUAAUUUAUGUUUUAAUUUAAAUUUUGAGUUAAAAUGCUUAAAUUUAUUUAUAGGACGAGAAGACCCUAUAGAUCUUUAUUUUGUUUUUAAUAAAUUAUUUUAGUUUCUCUUUUUUUUAUUAGAUUUAUAUAUUUAGUUGGGGUGACGUUGAGAUAAAUAUAACUCUUUUUUUUAUAAAAUCAAUAAUAUUUGUAUAUUUGACCUUUUAUUAAUGUUAAAAGAUUUAGAUACCUUAGGGAUAACAGCGUAAUUUUUUUUUAGAGUUCAUAUCGACAAUUAAGAUUGCGACCUCGAUGUUGGAUUAAGAAAAUAGUUAGGUGUAGGUGCUUAAUAAUUAAGUCUGUUCGACUUUUAAAUUCUUACAUGAUCUG